UACGGGAGGCAGCAGUGGGGAAUAUUGCACAAUGGGCGCAAGCCUGAUGCAGCCAUGCCGCGUGUAUGAAGAAGGCCUUCGGGUUGUAAAGUACUUUCAGUCGUGAGGAAGGUGUUAAGGUUAAUAACCUUAGCAAUUGACGUUAGCGACAGAAGAAGCACCGGCUAACUCCGUGCCAGCAGCCGCGGUAAUACGGAGGGUGCGAGCGUUAAUCGGAAUUACUGGGCGUAAAGGGCACGCAGGCGGUUAAUUAAGUUGGAUGUGAAAUCCCCGGGCUUAACCUGGGAAUGGCAUUCAAGACUGGUUAGCUAGAGUCUUGUAGAGGGGGUAGAAUUCCAUGUGUAGCGGUGAAAUGCGUAGAGAUGUGGAGGAAUACCGGUGGCGAAGGCGGCCCCUGGGACAAAGACUGACGCUCAUGUGCGAAGGCGUGGGGAGCAAACAGGGAUUAGAUACC
rnacentral:rRNA from 1 species